UGAAUACGAGAUGCUACGGCGUCGAAGCAGUCUAUGUCAUACUUCCAAGAAAAGCUUGCACUGUCAUAAACAAAUAAUGCCUGUACCAUAACCGACACAGGUGGGUAGGUAGAGUAUACUAAGGGGCGCGAGAUAACUCUCUCUAAGGAACUCGGCAAAAUGACUCCGUAACUUCGGGAGAAGGAGUGCCUUAUUUAUAAGGUUGCAAUAACAAGAUCCAAGCAACUGUUUACCAAAAACACAGGUCUCCGCUAAGUCGUAAGACGAUGUAUGGGGGCUGACGCCUGCCCAGUGCCAGAAGGUUAAAGAAGUUGGUUAGCAUCCGCGAAGCUGAUAACUGAAGCCCUGGUGAACGGCGGCCGUAACUAUAACGGUCCUAAGGUAGCGAAAUUCCUUGUCGGGUAAGUUCCGACCCGCACGAAAGGCGUAAUGAUUUGGAUACUGUCUCGGAGAGGGGCUCGGUGAAAUAGACUUGUCUGUGAAGAUGCGGACUACCUGCACCAGGACAGAAAGACCCUAUGAAGCUUUACUGUAACCUGAAAUUGAAAUUGGACUUUACUUGCGCAGUAUAGGUGGGAGGCGUUGAGAAUAUUCUUGCGGGAUUAUUGGAGCCAUCAGUGAGAUACCACUCUUGUAAUGUUAGAUUUCUAACUUUGUAUCAUUAUCUGGUCAAAGAACAGUUUCAGGCGGGCAGUUUGACUGGGGCGGUCGCCUCCUAAACGGUAACGGAGGCGCACAAAGGUUUCCUCUGAACGGGUAGAAAUCGUAUCUAGAGUGUAAAGGCAUAAGGAAGCUUGACUGUGAGACCUACAAGUCGAGCAGGGACGAAAGUCGGUCUUAGUGAUCUGACGGUGCUGAGUGGAAAGGCCGUCACUCAACGGAUAAAAGUUACUCUAGGAUAACAGGCUGAUCUCCCCCAAGAGUUCACAUCGACGGGGAGGUUUGGCACCUCGAUGUCGGCUCAUCGCAUCCUGGGGCGGUAGUACGUCCCAAGGGUUGGGCUGUUCGCCCAUGAAAGCGGUACGCGAGCUGGGUUCAGAACGUCGUGAGACAGUUCGGUCCAUAUCCGGUGUAGGCGUUAGAAUAUUGAGAGGAGCCUUCUUUAGUACGAGAGGACCGAGAAGGACAUACCUCUGGUGUACCAGUUAUCGUGCCAACGGUAAACGCUGGGUAGCUAUGUGUGGAGUGGAUAACCGCUGAAAGCAUCAAGUGGGAAGCCCACCUCAAGAUAAGUAUUCUCA
rnacentral:rRNA from 1 species